rnacentral:rRNA from 1 species
AGUUUACAACUCCCAAACCCCUGUGAACAUACCACUUGUUGCCUCGGCGGAUCAGCCCGCUCCCGGUAAAACGGGACGGCCCGCCAGAGGACCCCUAAACUCUGUUUCUAUAUGUAACUUCUGAGUAAAACCAUAAAUAAAUCAAAACUUUCAACAACGGAUCUCUUGGUUCUGGCAUCGAUGAAGAACGCAGCAAAAUGCGAUAAGUAAUGUGAAUUGCAGAAUUCAGUGAAUCAUCGAAUCUUUGAACGCACAUUGCGCCCGCCAGUAUUCUGGCGGGCAUGCCUGUUCGAGCGUCAUUUCAACCCUCAAGCACAGCUUGGUGUUGGGACUCGCGUUAAUUCGCGUUCCUCAAAUUGACUGGCGGUCACGUCGAGCUUCCAUAGCGUAGUAGUAAAACCCUCGUUACUGGUAAUCGUCGCGGCCACGCCGUUAAACCCCAACUUCUGAAUGUUGACCUCGGAUCAGGUAGGAAUACCCGCUGAACUUAAGCAUAUCAAUAAGACGGGGAAA